UCCCAUUCCUAAGAUCUGAUGGCCAACGCUGAUGGACAUUGAUGGUGCUGCAACCAAUCCCAACAUGAAGAACACUUGAAACCUAAGACACAGUCCUCAAUGAAAAUACAAAAAAAGAGUCUUUACAGCACUAAAAACAACUUUCAUCAAGUUCACAGCACAUGACAUUGCCUGACUUGGAAGCUGCUGCCAAACCUACUGAGCUUUUCCAGCAAUCUCUGUCUUUGUUAAAGAAAAAGCUGUGUCUGCAACAUGAACAGAAGGUCUCAAAAAGAAACAAUGGUUCCUGG